CGAUAGCGUAUAUUUAAGUUGUUGCAGUUAAAAAGCUCGUAGUUGGAUUUCGGGUGGGACGCAGCGGUCUCGCAUUGCGUUUGUACUGCUGCAGCCCUCCUUCUUGCCGGGGGCGGCCUCUCGGACUUCACUGUCUGGGGGUCAGAAUCGGCGAUGUUACUUUGAGUAAAUUAGAGUGUUCAAAGCAAGCUUACGCUCUGAAUAUAAUAGCAUGGGAUAACACGACAGGACUCUGGCCUAUCGUGUUGGUCUAUAGGACCAGAGUAAUGAUUAAGAGGGACAGUCGGGGGCAUUCGUAUUCCGUUGUCAGAGGUGAAAUUCUUGGAUUUACGGAAGACGAACAUCUGCGAAAGCAUUUGCCAAGGAUGUUUUCAUUGA
rnacentral:rRNA from 1 species